rnacentral:rRNA from 1 species
UUAAGCGACUAAGCGUACACGGUGGAUGCCCUGGCAGUCAGAGGCGAUGAAGGACGUGCUAAUCUGCGAUAAGCGUCGGUAAGGUGAUAUGAACCGUUAUAACCGGCGAUUUCCGAAUGGGGAAACCCAGUGUGUUUCGACACACUAUCAUUAACUGAAUCCAUAGGUUAAUGAGGCGAACCGGGGGAACUGAAACAUCUAAGUACCCCGAGGAAAAGAAAUCAACCGAGAUUCCCCCAGUAGCGGCGAGCGAACGGGGAGCAGCCCAGAGCCUGAAUCAGUGUGUGUGUUAGUGGAAGCGUCUGGAAAGGCGCGCGAUACAGGGUGACAGCCCCGUACACAAAAAUGCACAUGCUGUGAGCUCGAUGAGUAGGGCGGGACACGUGGUAUCCUGUCUGAAUAGUGGGGGGACCAUCCUCCAAGGCUAAAUACUCCUGACUGACCGAUAGUGAACCAGUACCGUGAUGGAAAGGCGAAAAGAACCCCGGCGAGGGGAGUGAAAAAGAACCUGAAACCGUGUACGUACAAGCAGUGGGAGCACGCUUCGGCGUGUGACUGCGUACCUUUUGUAUAAUGGGUCAGCGACUUAUAUUCUGUAGCAAGGUUAACCGAAUAGGGGAGCCGAAGGGAAACCGAGUCUUAACUGGGCGUUAAGUUGCAGGGUAUAGACCCGAAACCCGGUGAUCUAGCCAUGGGCAGGUUGAAGGUUGGGUAACACUAACUGGAGGACCGAACCGACUAAUGUUGAAAAAUUAGCGGAUGACUUGUGGCUGGGGGUGAAAGGCCAAUCAAACCGGGAGAUAGCUGGUUCUCCCCGAAAGCUAUUUAGGUAGCGCCUCGUGAAUUCAUCUCCGGGGGUAGAGCACUGUUUCGGCAAGGGGGUCAUCCCGACUUACCAACCCGAUGCAAACUGCGAAUACCGGAGAAUGUUAUCACGGGAGACACACGGCGGGUGCUAACGUCCGUCGUGAAGAGGGAAACAACCCAGACCGCCAGCUAAGGUCCCAAAGUCAUGGUUAAGUGGGAAACGAUGUGGGAAGGCCCAGACAGCCAGGAUGUUGGCUUAGAAGCAGCCAUCAUUUAAAGAAAGCGUAAUAGCUCACUGGUCGAGUCGGCCUGCGCGGAAGAUGUAACGGGGCUAAACCAUGCACCGAAGCUGCGGCAGCGACGCUUAUGCGUUGUUGGGUAGGGGAGCGUUCUGUAAGCCUGUGAAGGUGUGCUGUGAGGCAUGCUGGAGGUAUCAGAAGUGCGAAUGCUGACAUAAGUAACGAUAAAGCGGGUGAAAAGCCCGCUCGCCGGAAGACCAAGGGUUCCUGUCCAACGUUAAUCGGGGCAGGGUGAGUCGACCCCUAAGGCGAGGCCGAAAGGCGUAGUCGAUGGGAAACAGGUUAAUAUUCCUGUACUUGGUGUUACUGCGAAGGGGGGACGGAGAAGGCUACGUUGGCCGGGCGACGGUUGUCCCGGUUUAAGCGUGUAGGCUGGUUUUCCAGGCAAAUCCGGAAAAUCAAGGCUGAGGCGUGAUGACGAAGCACUACGGUGCUGAAGCAACAAAUGCCCUGCUUCCAGGAAAAGCCUCUAAGCAUCAGGUAACAUCAAAUCGUACCCCAAACCGACACAGGUGGUCAGGUAGAGAAUACCAAGGCGCUUGAGAGAACUCGGGUGAAGGAACUAGGCAAAAUGGUGCCGUAACUUCGGGAGAAGGCACGCUGAUAUGUAGGUGAAGUCCCUUGCGGAUGGAGCUGAAAUCAGUCGAAGAUACCAGCUGGCUGCAACUGUUUAUUAAAAACACAGCACUGUGCAAACACGAAAGUGGACGUAUACGGUGUGACGCCUGCCCGGUGCCGGAAGGUUAAUUGAUGGGGUCAGCGCAAGCGAAGCUCUUGAUCGAAGCCCCGGUAAACGGCGGCCGUAACUAUAACGGUCCUAAGGUAGCGAAAUUCCUUGUCGGGUAAGUUCCGACCUGCACGAAUGGCGUAAUGAUGGCCAGGCUGUCUCCACCCGAGACUCAGUGAAAUUGAACUCGCUGUGAAGAUGCAGUGUACCCGCGGCAAGACGGAAAGACCCCGUGAACCUUUACUAUAGCUUGACACUGAACAUUGAGCCUUGAUGUGUAGGAUAGGUGGGAGGCUUUGAAGUGUGGACGCCAGUCUGCAUGGAGCCGACCUUGAAAUACCACCCUUUAAUGUUUGAUGUUCUAACGUUGACCCGUAAUCCGGGUUGCGGACAGUGUCUGGUGGGUAGUUUGACUGGGGCGGUCUCCUCCUAAAGAGUAACGGAGGAGCACGAAGGUUGGCUAAUCCUGGUCGGACAUCAGGAGGUUAGUGCAAUGGCAUAAGCCAGCUUGACUGCGAGCGUGACGGCGCGAGCAGGUGCGAAAGCAGGUCAUAGUGAUCCGGUGGUUCUGAAUGGAAGGGCCAUCGCUCAACGGAUAAAAGGUACUCCGGGGAUAACAGGCUGAUACCGCCCAAGAGUUCAUAUCGACGGCGGUGUUUGGCACCUCGAUGUCGGCUCAUCACAUCCUGGGGCUGAAGUAGGUCCCAAGGGUAUGGCUGUUCGCCAUUUAAAGUGGUACGCGAGCUGGGUUUAGAACGUCGUGAGACAGUUCGGUCCCUAUCUGCCGUGGGCGCUGGAGAAUUGAGGGGGGCUGCUCCUAGUACGAGAGGACCGGAGUGGACGCAUCACUGGUGUUCGGGUUGUCAUGCCAAUGGCACUGCCCGGUAGCUAAAUGCGGAAGAGAUAAGUGCUGAAAGCAUCUAAGCACGAAACUUGCCCCGAGAUGAGUUCUCCCUGACUCCUUGAGAGUCCUGAAGGAACGUUGAAGACGACGACGUUGAUAGGCCGGGUGUGUAAGCGCAGCGAUGCGUUGAGCUAACCGGUACUAAUGAACCGUGAGGCUUAACCUU